rnacentral:rRNA from 1 species
AGAUGGAUGUUUAAGUCAGUUGUGAAAGUUUGCGGCUCAACCGUAAAAUUGCAGUUGAUACUGGAUAUCUUGAGUGCAGUUGAGGCAGGCGGAAUUCGUGGUGUAGCGGUGAAAUGCUUAGAUAUCACGAAGAACUCCGAUUGCGAGGGCAGCCUGCUAAGCUGCAACUGACAUUGAGGCUCGAAAGUGUGGGUAUCAAACAGGAUUAGAUACCCUGGUAGUCCACACGGUAAACGAUGAAUACUCGCUGUUUGCGAUAUACUGCAAGCGGCCAAGCGAAAGCGUUAAGUAUUCCACCUAGGGAGUACGCCGGCAACGGUGAAACUCAAAGGAAUUGACGGGGGCCCGCACAAGCGGAGGAACAUGUGGUUUAAUUCGAUGAUACGCGAGGAACCUUACCCGGGCUUAAAUUGCAGAUGAAUUACGGUGAAAGCCGUAAGCCGCAAGGCAUCUGUGAAGGUGCUGCAUGGUUGUCGUCAGCUCGUGCCGUGAGGUGUCGGCUUAAGUGCCAUAACGAGCGCAACCCAUGUUGUCAGUUACUAACAGGUUCCGCUGAGGACUCUGACAAGACUGCCAUCGUAAGAUGUGAGGAAGGUGGGGAUGACGUCAAAUCAGCACGGCCCUUACGUCCGGGGCUACACACGUGUUACAAUGGGGGGUACAGAGGGCCGCUACCACGCGAGUGGAUGCCAAUCCCAAAAACCUCUCUCAGUUCGGACUGGAGUCUGCAACCCGACUCCACGAAGCUGGAUUCGCUAGUAAUCGCGCAUCAGCCACGGCGCGGUGAAUACGUUCCCGGGCCUUGUACACACCGCCCGUCAAGCCAUGGGAGCCGGGGGUACCUGAAGUGCGUAACCGCGAGGAGCGCCCUAGGGUAAAACUGGUGACUGGGGCUAAG